rnacentral:rRNA from 1 species
UACGUAGGGUGCGAGCGUUGUCCGGAUUUAUUGGGCGUAAAGAGCUCGUAGGCGGCUUGUCGCGUCGAAUGUGAAAUCCCGUGGCUCAACUGCGGUCUGCAUUCGAUACGGGCAGGCUAGAGUUCGGUACGGGGAGACUGGAAUUCCUGGUGUAGCGGUGAAAUGCGCAGAUAUCAGGAGGAACACCGGUGGCGAAGGCGGGUCUCUGGGCCGAUACUGACGCUGAGGAGCGAAAGCGUGGGGAGCGAACAGG